rnacentral:misc_RNA from 1 species
GGAUAAUUUUGAAAAUGCUGUAUCAUCACUGUUGGGAUCUGAAUGGCAUGUUUUAGAUAUAUCAGAAUUUUAUGAAAUUAUUGAUUUGAAAUAUUCUAAAUAUUCUCAAUGCUUAUAAGUUUUUAAAAAGUAUAUUGGCAUAAUUAAAAUAUAAUUAAGAAAUCAGUAAGUAAUUACCGGUAGUUAAAAGAGUUGACUUGCACAAUCAUGACUGGCUGAAAAGAUAAUUGUCAGAAUUAUUUUAUAUAAACUUUCUUGACUUUCCAAGCUAAGGGUUUGUGUUUUUGAGAAGCAGUCAGGCUCAUAGCUUCAGCAGAACUGCAUGAAGCUCUCCGAAAAAAAAAAUGUGGCAGACCCUAGAGCUCUCUGGUCAAUCACAAUUUCUUUUUCCAGAGAGCUAUACAGUUCUGCAGCUAACAGGUUCACAAAUCAUUGGCUCGCACAGUUGGAGAAACUUGAAUGUCUUGCUUGUGUUAUUAAUUAUGUGAUUUAUUUUUGACAACAUUAAAACUUCAAAUAUGC